UACGUAGGGUCCAAGCGUUAUCCGGAAUCACUGGGCGUAAAGCGUGCGUAGGUGGCGUGUUAAGUGUGAUGGUAAAUCGUGUGGCUCAACCAUAUCGAUGUGUCGCAUACUGGCAUGCUAGAGGACAGCAGAGGCAAGUGGAAUUUGUAGUGUAGCAGUGAAAUGCGUAGAUAUUACAAGGAACACCAAUGGCGAAGGCAGCUUGCUGGGCUACUCCUGACACUGAGGCGCGAAAGCUAGGGGAGCAAACAGG
rnacentral:rRNA from 1 species